UACAGAGGCCUCGAGCGUUAGGCGGAAUCACUGGGCUUAAAGCGUGUGUAGGCGGACUUCUAAGUACCUUGUGAAAUCCCACGGCUUACCCGUGGAACUGCUUGGUAUACUGGUUGUCUUGAGCCACCUAGGGGCGAGUGGAACAAAUGGUGGAGCGGUGAAAUGACGUAGAUAUCAUUUGGAACGCCAAUGGUGAAAACAACUCGCUGGGGGUGUGCUGACGCUGGAGACACGAAAGCCAGGGGAGCGAACGGG
rnacentral:rRNA from 1 species